UUUGUCUUUCUGUACCCAUUACUGUGUCUGAACUGUGUGACAAUGCUAAAACAAAUCCCAGAGAGCACACUGGUGUCCCGAGUUGGCUCCCAAGACCCCUAAGCAAUCCAUCUCUUCUCCCUGCUUUCUACCAGGUACACAUGCUGUCUUACAAUGUCCAGGGCUUUCAGCUGUGCUGAAGAGGGCAGAGAAACACACAGCCAGUCUACCUGUCCAGCAGCUUCAGACAUACCCACACUGGGCUGUCAGGUCCUUGCAUAUACCAGGACCAUUGGACCUGCCUUUCGAGCCAAGGGAAACCACAGCUACACCCACCUGCAGAACACCAACGCCCUCAGCUUUGCCAAAACUCAAACCAUCCAUAAGUCCACAGAAAGAGCUGGAAAGUGGCUGAUGAAAACUUCUGCGAUGACGUAUGAUUCCUGACUCCCAAAAGAGUCCAGACAUGCUGAGAAAGAAAGAACUGUUAGUCUUGCUCAUCACUGCCUCACCAUAACCCAGAGCAACACUCCAGCACAGAGGAAAUGCUCCGGCAUAUGGUGUAUACUUUAACAUGUAGGUAGUGUUUCACCAUGUGGCAAGUGCUCCCUCAUGUGGGAAGUGCUCCAGGACAUGGUCAACUGAAGGUGCUCAAUACACCUCUGCAGUGAAAAAGGAAACUCUUUUUCUUGACAUUUCUUUGGUAUAUAGGAAUGCGAUGAGCUAAUGGAAUUCAUAUACCGGCCCAACGGAGAGUGUAGAGUAAAGGAAUCUACCCCACUUACACUGUUAAAUUAAUAAAUGAGUGGCUUGUUUCCUGGCUAUGAUUAUGGUAUGAUGAGCUAGGAUACAAGACUCUCAGGGCAGAAGAAAUUACACACACAGGCCUUCUAACUCACCUAUUGUUCCAACAUGUGCAUUCCUUCCACAAGUAGUUCUUAAGAGAGUGUCUAUUACACACAGCACUAAACAGACUCAGUAGGCCUUUGAUAGGAUACUGGUCAGUAACAAAGUAUCAAGUGAUCCCUACAGUUUGUAUUCCUAUAUAUUGCAAAAACACUGCAAAGAUAUACCCCAGCAUAGGUCUGAGGUCCCUCCUGAACAAGUAACUGCCACUCUCUGAGAUGAUAUCACAUUAGCAAGAAGUGUUCUGUUUCACGGUGACUUCAUUCCCACUCCCUAGUCCUUGAUCCUGAGGUCAUUCAGGACUUUCAACACAGUACAACCACACAGUACUGAGCCAUUAAUGUGUGGGGUACAGUUCUGGUUGUACCCUGUCUUCUCAAUGGUCAGUACCAGAGUCUGGAUAUUCAAGUGGCUGGAAGCCAGACCCCAUGACAGCAGACUUUGACCUGCAUGUUCUGCACCAGCCAGGUCAGAAAGCCAAACCAUCAAGUCUGCUGGUGUCACCAGAUGUCAUAGUAUGGUGACUGAGUUUCCUUGAUUUUUGUCCCCCUUCCCAGCUCAGAAACAACUUAGAGAAAGAUAAAUAGGAUGCCUCAGAUCUAGUUAUCCUCUCUCUAACCUCUCUGUGCCAAGAGCCCUCAACCACAGUAAACCCAAAGUCUUUACUCUCCUACAAAGAUUUUCCACAUGUCUGCCUUGCCUCGAAUCUGCAAAUGCAGGUGCGAUGUUCAGGCUUCAUUGCCAACUUGACAAGACCUUAGAAACACCUAGAAAGCAAGCUCCAGGUGGAUUGGUGAGGGUGUCAUCAGAGAAGUUUAACUGAGGAGGAAAGACCUAUGUUAAGCACAAGGAAGUUGACCAGGUUGAGUAAAAGAGGGGAGGUGAACCAGGAAGCCCACAGGGCACCAGCAUUCAUCCUUUUGUUUCCAGCUACAGAGAGAUGCAAGACACCAGCUACACUGUCUCCCCAUCAUGACUCACUGAAUUCCUUCAACCCACAAGACCAAAUGUUCUUCCUUUGGUGGCUUGAAAGAGAAUGGAUUCCAUAGGCUCAUGGUUGGAGGAGGUGUGUCAUGAGGGUGAGCUUUGAGGAUUUCAAAACUUCCCCUCAUCCCUCCUUAGUUCUCUCUGCCUCUUACUUGUAACUCAAGAUGUAAACUCCCAGUUGUUCCUGCCACCAUGCCUUUGUUCUUCCAUCAUGGACUCUAACCCUCUGGAACCAUAAGCUCAAUUAAACACUUUAUUCUGUAAGUUGCCUUGGUCAUGGGUGCUUUAUCACAGCAAUAGAACAGUAACUAAGACAUACCCUCAGGCUGAUUCUGAUAGACAUUUUGUCACAAAAAGUAGAAAAGCUAAUUUUACAGAAAAUUGUUACUAAGGAGUAAGGUCAUUGCUGUGACCACCUGAUCAUGUGGUUCAUAGGCCUUUGUAUGUGUUUCACAGUUUGGGAUUGCUAAAAGCAGAGUUUAAUGGGCCAUUCUAGAGGGUUUGCAAGAAUAGAAUGCUAAGAGAGAUGUUGACAGUGGAGGUCAGGCUCUAGAGGUUUCUAUUGAUAGCAUGUCUAUAUUCUGUAAAGAAUAGGGCUUUAUUCUGUUCAUGUCCUGAGAACUUGAGUGAGGCAGAAUUCAAAAGCAAAAGACUGUUUUGUUUGUUUGUCUCAGGACAGCAUAGAAUCCAGUCUGUGGUGUGGCUACUGCUUGUUGCUGAUACAUAGGGAGAGAGAGAGAGAGAGAGAGAGAGAGAGAGAGAGAGAGAGAGAGAGAGAGAGAAGGUAAAUGUGCAUUUGGUAAGAAAAUUAGUGUGAUUUUAAAACUGCAGCUUUAGUGAACUUUAAAAUAAAAAUUAAAAGUGGUGGUUUAUUCUCCUUCAUGUAGUUUGGCAUGAGUGUUCUUUAUAUUAUAGGAUGUUAUGUUAUAUUAAGGAUUUUUCUUUACUUUCCCUCUUGGGUCCUUCCAACAUUCCUCCCCCCUUAGUAGGUAUUAUAUCUUGAUUUUAGAAGUUGAUUGAGGAGUCAAAAGGGAAUAAAAAGAACUCUUAGAGUCAUCAGAUUUGGAGACUGGGUGGGCUGUGUUUGCUUCAGGAAUGUAAACUCAAUCUUUAUCUUUGAGUUUAUCUGUGAGAACAACUCACUAGAGAAGGCUCUUGGGUCAGGCCAGACCCUUCAGCAUUAGGUCUUUGACAUGGAGGUCAGAAGGGAGAGGGCAAAGGCCUGGAAUAGUCUGGGAUUAAACACUAGGACAUGACAUCUGGAGAAGAGAGAAGAGAACAGCUGAUAUCAUGGUGGUUAGAGCAGCAGGGGUGGAAGAGGAAGUAAGUUUAGGCUGAAGGUGUGGGCCUAAGCCAAUUUUUUGGCCAUCUUGUCUGAGGGUUUCUAUUACAUUGUUUGAGUUUCUUGUGUAUUCUGGAUAUUAACCUCUUGUCAAGAUAAAUAAUUUGUAAACACCUUUGUGUGUUCUGUUGAGUAUUAUCUGUGUCCUACUGGCUGCCUGUAUUCUGUCAAUUGUCAUCUGUGUUCUGUUGAUUGCUUCAUUUGCUAGGAAGAAACUUUGGUUUAGUGGAAUUUCAUCUGUUAAUUUUUGUUUUCUGUAUUUCCAGGGUUCUAUAAAAAAUCACUGCAAAAUCAAGGUCCCCCAAUUUUUCUUCUAUGCCUUUUCCUAGUAGUAUCCUAGUUUGGGGUCUUAUAUUUCAGACUUUAAUCUUUUUGAGUUGCUAUUUGUAUCUGGUGAAAAUGUAGAUUCUUUCUUCUAUAUGGAUAUCCAGCUUUCCCAGCAGUUUAUUGAGAAGAUUAUUCUUUCCCCAUGUUUCUAGCAACUUGUAAAAAUUCAAUUGGCUGUAAAUUCAUGGGGUCAUUUGUGGGCUUUGUUCUGCUUCAUUGGUCUGUGUGUCUUUCUUUUCUUUUUCCUUUACUCUUCUCUCAUACAUAACAUUCUGAGCACAGCCUCCCCU